GACGAACGCUGGCGGCGUGCUUAACACAUGCAAGUCGAACGGAAAGGCCUUUUCGGAGGUACUCGAGUGGCGAACGGGUGAGUAACACGUGGGUGUUCUGCCCUGCACUCUGGGAUAAGCCUGGGAAACUGGGUCUAAUACCGGAUAGGACCGCACUUUAGUGUGUGUGGUGGAAAGUUUUUUCGGUGUAGGAUGAGCCCGCGGCCUAUCAGCUUGUUGGUGGGGUAAUGGCCUACCAAGGCGGCGACGGGUAGCCGGACUGAGAGGUUGGUCGGCCACAUUGGGACUGAGAUACGGCCCAGACUCCUACGGGAGGCAGCAGUGGGGAAUAUUGCACAAUGGGCGCAAGCCUGAUGCAGCGACGCCGCGUGGGGGAUGACGGCCUUCGGGUUGUAAACUCCUUUCGCCAGGGACGAAGCGUUUUGUGACGGUACCUGGAGAAGAAGCACCGGCUAACUACGU
rnacentral:rRNA from 1 species